CAAAAUAUUCCCUAAAAUGAGUGUGUUUUUUUAGACUUGUAGUUUUCCAUGACGCAAAACUUUUUUCGAAGUUGAUCUGUUUGGUUUGUCAUUUCAUAAUGAAAAUUUAUUACCAAAGAAAUUCCCGAUUUUCACAAGAAAAUUUUGUUCAGUGAUGAAGCUCAAUUUUGAUUUAAUGGAGGGAAUCAUUAGUAUCCAUCUUUCUUCAAAAAUUAAGCUGGGCAUAAUGUAACAAUCCAUGGGAAACGCUAUAGAGCCAUGAUUCAUGACCUUUACGUGCCUGAAUGGAGGAUGUUGAUGGACGUUUGGUUCCAAUAAUACGGCGCUAUAUUCCAUACAGCCAACGGAACAAUCAAUUUAUUGAAGGAAACUUUUGGUGAGCGCAUUAUUUCUCGCCGGGAGCCUGUGGCGUGGCUUCCAACAUCGUGUGAUUCAACACCGCUGGACUAUUUUUGUGGCGUUAUGUGAAGUCGCUUGUCUAUGCAGGCUUAAGACGAGAAGUCAAGAAAGUCAUGCCCAGAGUUAUUCUGAAGUUUCAUGAUAGACGUGCUGGCGCAGAAGAGGAUUUAUUUGCACGAAUUGUAGUGCUGUUUUCUUAACGAUCUCUGAGAUGUGGUUUCUUUCGUUAUCAAGGAGUUCAAAUACUAAUGUGACGCAUUCUCCCUCAAGCAGUCAAAAACAGUAAUAUUGAAAAUGUUGUCCGGACCGGAUCACUUUCGCAUUACAAUUUUUCUCUUUGCUUAGGGAUCAUAUUGUGAGAUAUUUUAGUGCACCGAGUUUUUUUUAUACUUCUGAGCUUUUGAGGCAGAACAUUCUCUCUGUUACUUCAAUUUCGAGACUCAAUUCGAUUACAUUUUAUUGCAGCAGCAGUGUUCUUAUCCCUAAUCCGAAGAGUUUUAAAUUUAGAAUCAUAGAAUGGCGUGCUUCCGAAAUAUUUUUGUCCAUUUACUACCGAUGAACUAAGCCCAUCAGUAUCGAAGAAUAUAGUUCUUUCUUUAUUUCAUUUUCAAUAUCAUGCAGAACUAAUAUCAGAAUUUAAAUUGAAUCAGAUAUCUUAUAGUAAAGAUUCCAAAGUAUAAACAAGCUUUUUUGAACACAAAAUUCCCUUAAUUUUUGUAACCAAAUGUUAAUAUUAUAUAUUGACUCAUUUGGUAGCAAAAAAUAUUACGGCUAAAACUUAAGAAACAAUAUCCCUCUUUCAUCUCCACCUAUGGUUUUGAGUACGUCAGCAUGUGUGCACUUAGUCAGCGGUCUAUACAGUUUUUGCAUAAGAUUGUCUAAAAAAAGGUGUGUCACGAGACCGUGCGAGGUUUCUACUCACAUUUAUGUAACGUCAUAGAAAGCGCAAGUAGAAUUCUUACAUCACUAAAUAUAUGCUUAGAUGAAGUUAAUUCGGUAUAUAUACAUAUGUUCAUACAAGUAUAUGUUACGUCAUAGCUGCUAGUAAUUACCCCUUAAAUGUCAAGAGCCACUAAAAAGACAUAAGCGUUCGUAUUUCAUGAAAGCAUCUCAAAAAUGUUUGUAUAAAAAUUAGUAUUUACUAUUUAAAAGCGCGCAUGCAAUUCGUGACUUAUAUUUAGUUUAAACACGAUUAGCAAGUGUGGGAAAUUUUCAAAUAUUAUAAUAGCAAGUGAAGUUAUUAAAAUUUAAUUGUUGCAUGAGAUAAUAUUUCUCUUAUACAAGUACUACAUAUAUGUACAUAUAUAAAUAUUAUAUGUAUACAAAAUAAUAAGAAAUAGAAAAUCUAUUACUCUUUGCGAAAUACUGGCAAAAGGUAUAAACACGUCAUAUUUGUGCUUAAGUCGGAAUGUAGUUGAGCUGUAAGGCGUGCUGCAUUUGUAACUGAUUGAGCGUUCUGAUGACAGUCAAAAAGAAGUAGAAGUAAAUGUGAUUAGAGCACAGAAAAAUGUAACGGACUUUCAUUUAAUGUCUACAACCUAAAUUACUAUCUAAACGCGGCGAUUUGCUUAUAAAUUUCAAUAGCUGGUCCAAGGGCGCAAGAGAGAGUUUUUCAGCUUACUACAGGAGUAAGUCUAAAGCAGAGAGAUGAAUACGGCUCAUCACAAAUAGUGAUCAAAAUUCAGAGUUAUAGUUGGGUUAACUCAAAAACAUCGCUUGAUCAGUUCACAUCCCGAAUUGUUGGGAUGACUUUAGUAAUUCCAUAAGCGGUCAAGUCAGCUUUUGCCAAUGAAACCAAAAACAAAUAUUUUUGAGAAUAAAGGGCAUGUAGUUAGAGAAACUUCAGAACUCUUUCUAUUUGGUUAAAUCUUCGGAUCUUUAUUACGAUACAGUCACAGGAGGCAUUACUGUGUCAUGAAUCCCUAUUAAGUUUGUUUAGUAAAGUUAUGCACCAUUUUAACAGGUGAGACUGCAUAGUCUGCUCACUAAGGGUCUUGAUUUGGCUUGACUGACGGAAAAUACCACAAUAUUUGGCAAGAAACUUAUUUAAAGGUCGUAAGUUCUGCCAUAAAUUCCCUGCAGUUGGAGCAUAACACUCCCUGAAGCAGAACUCCCGCCAAUAUAGUCACUUAUUUUCUAAACUCUAACAAAUCUAUUUUAAAUUCUGGAAAUACACUAAAUAAAUAACAAAAGGAUCCGGCUGGCACCGAGCUUUAGCUUUGAUCACCAUUUGAACCAACUAAACAAAUAUUGGAAGGCCGCUAAAGAUUGAUAGCAUUUUACAUAGAACAGUACAUUUAAAGUGAGCAAAUGUUGUUCAAAGGUCUGCAGUUCCCUAGUUUAAAGACUGAGUCAUAAAGUCGGAACUAUGAGAUAAUGUAAGGUAAACGAUGGCUGAGGGAAAGAUGGAAAUAUUAAACAAAAUUUCGACUUUUGCAUCAUAUAUAACACACCCAAGUGACAUGCGUCAAACAUGGCCUCUUGAUAACUCAUCCUUAUAUUCGACAUCAACUGAAUAUGGAAUGAGUCAUAUAGAAGACUUUAGUAAAUGCACCUUUUGUAAAUACUGAAGAAUAAGAAAUAUUUAAAAGCACUAAAAAAGUAACAGGUUAAUGCAAUUUAUUUAUAUUUAUUGGGCAGUGUGGCCACAUGAGGAGCUUACAUAUGUAUGUGUGAAUAGCCACACAUUACAUGACGAAUGUCGCAGAAUACAAAAGAACACGCCCACAUUUAAUUGCAAUUUCUCGUAAGUCGGUAUUAGUCAGGUGAGAUGUAUCAUCUUGAAUAACAAGAAUGCGUCACAUAAGUAAAAUACCAACAAC